GCCCGGGAACACUCCCCCGCAGCGCGGUCCUCGGCCUCCUCUUAAAUAUUCUCAGGCAGAUGUUGUCCAUUAGUGCCCCGCGCCUCCGCAUUACAGGAGCUUAUCCACCGUGUGCCAGGGGGGCAUCAGAACUUGAGCUUCGUCUCCCCUCGACCAACAGAUUCCUCGUGACCCUGGGCAUCUAUCUGUGCACAUGGCGAAUAUUCCCCUCGGGCACACCUUUCUAGAAGGUUCGCUGCUGGUGCAAAUGGAAUACGCCAUGAGGAUUCUGCAGGCACCCAGGACGACCUCCCUGGACGCCCACAGGUUGAACCCAGAUGCACC
rnacentral:lncRNA from 1 species